CCUGGUUGAUCCUGCCAGUAGUCAUAUGCUUGUCUCAAAGAUUAAGCCAUGCAUGUCUAAGUAUAAGCACUUGUACUGUGAAACUGCGAAUGGCUCAUUAAAUCAGUUAUCGUUUAUUUGAUUGUACCUUACUACAUGGAUACCUGUGGUAAUUCUAGAGCUAAUACAUGCGAAAGAUCCCGACUUCACGGAAGGGAUGUAUUUAUUAGACUAAAAACCAAUGCGGGCCUCGGUCCGCUUGCUUGGUGAUUCAUGAUAACUUUUCGAAUCGCAUGGCCUUGCGCCGGCGAUGUUUCAUUCAAAUUUCUGCCCUAUCAACUGUCGAUGGUAAGGUAGUGGCUUACCAUGGUUGCAACGGGUGACGGAGAAUUAGGGUUCGAUUCCGGAGAGGGAGCCUGAGAAACGGCUACCACAUCUAAGGAAGGCAGCAGGCACGAAAAUUACCCAAUCCCGAUUCGGGGAGGUAGUGACAAGAAAUAACGGUACGGGGCCUUUAUAGGUCUCGCAAUCGGAAUGAGAACAAUUUAAAUCCUUUAACGAGGAUCAAUUGGAGGGCAAGUCUGGUGCCAGCAGCCGCGGUAAUUCCAGCUCCAAUAGCGUAUAUUAAGUUGUUGCAGUUAAAAAGCUCGUAGUUGGAUUUCGGAGCGGGCCCGUUGGUCCACCGCAAGGUGAGCUACUGGCGGGUCUGUUCUUCUUCGCAAAGACUGCAGGUGCACUUCGCUGUGUGCUUGUCGGAUUUGUGACGUUUACUUUGAAAAAAUUAGAGUGUUCAAAGCAGGCUUUCGCUUGAAUACAUGAGCAUGGAAUAAUGGAAUAGGACUUUGGUUCUAUUUUGUUGGUUUCUAGGACCGAAGUAAUGAUUAAGAGGGACAAACGGGGGCAUCUGUAUUUCGUUGUCAGAGGUGAAAUUCUUGGAUUUGCGAAAGACAAACAACUGCGAAAGCACUUGCCAAGAGUGUUUUCAUUAAUCAAGAACGAAAGUUAGAGGAUCGAAGACGAUCAGAUACCGUCCUAGUUCUAACCAUAAACGAUGUCGACUAGGGAUCGGCGGGCGUUAUUUUAUGACCCCGUCGGCACCUUACGGGAAACCAAAGUUUUUGGAUUCCGGGGGUAGUAUGGUUGCAAAGCUGAAACUUAAAGGAAUUGACGGAAGGGCACCACCAGGAGUGGAGCCUGCGGCUU
rnacentral:rRNA from 1 species